rnacentral:rRNA from 1 species
AUACGGAGGAUGCAAGCGUUAUCCGGAUUUAUUGGGUUUAAAGGGUGCGUAGGCGGUUCGGAAAGUCAGGGGUGAAAGCCCGGCGCCUAACGCCGGAACUGCCUUUGAUACUUCCGAGCUGGAAUACGGAUGCCGUGGGAGGAAUGAGUAGUGUAGCGGUGAAAUGCAUAGAUAUUACUCAGAACACCGAUUGCGAAGGCAUCUCACGAAUCCGUCAUUGACGCUGAGGCACGAAAGCGUGGGGAUCAAACAGGAUUAGAUACCCUGUAGUCCACGCAGUAAACGAUGAUGACUAACCGUCGGCGAUACACAGUCGGUGGCCAAGCGAAAGCGAUAAGUCAUCCACCUGGGGAGUACGUUCGCAAGAAUGAAACUCAAAUGAAUUGACGGGG